CCUCUUUGUGAUUCUGAGUUUCUGACAUACUUACUGGCUGGUUUAGACUCCUCCUACAACUCUAUAGUCACCUCUAUUGCAACUCGAGUUGACUAGUUUUCUCUUGAGGAUGUCUUUGCCCAUUUACUCAGCUUUGAAC